GCUAAAUUAGCUCAGCUGGCAGAGCAACUGAUUCGUAAUCAGUAGGUCGGGGGUUCAAGUCCCCCAUUUAGCU
rnacentral:tRNA from 1 species